AUGGCUCAGAUUGAACGCUGGCGGCAGGCCUAACACAUGCAAGUCGAGCGGCAGCGGGAAAGUAGCUUGCUACUUUUGCCGGCGAGCGGCGGACGGGUGAGUAAUGCCUGGGAAAUUGCCCAGUCGAGGGGGAUAACAGUUGGAAACGACUGCUAAUACCGCAUACGCCCUACGGGGGAAAGCAGGGGACCUUCGGGCCUUGCGCGAUUGGAUAU
rnacentral:rRNA from 1 species